AUGUCGGUUAUAGGUUUUAAUAAAAUUAUAUUUCCAGUACAAUCAUGUUUGGAGGUAUGCAAUGUUGGAAAACCUUGUAGCUGUCAGAUUCGUUAUGUUUCCUCGACAGGGUUAGGCACAUACAUGUUCCAGCUCUUUCUGCCAAAAUUAUUCCUACAUUGUUGGUCUGCAAAUAGCUUGCAGUGUAAUGGUAACUGGAUAUGGUCAGUUAUUCUGUCACCACAUGCAUCCAGCUUCCUGGGAAAUGUUGUGUUGCAUUUGCGGCUGCAAGCUGGUAUCUUGGUAAGAAGGGUCGACGUACUGUGGUGGCUGGGUUAUUCAACAUAUGAACUUGUUGGCCAUUGUCAUAGUUUUGGCUGGGUUUUUGCAGUUUAUGUUUAG
rnacentral:rRNA from 1 species